GAAAAGAACUUUGAAAAGAGAGUUAAAAGUACUUGAAAUUGUUAACAGGGAAUCGCUUGUACUCCAAGUUCUCAUUGUAGGAAAUCA
rnacentral:rRNA from 1 species